AUUGAACGCUGGCGGCAGGCCUAACACAUGCAAGUCGAGCGAGCGGCGGGCGGGUGAGAAAUGUAUGGGGACUGCCCGAACGAGGGGGAUAACUACUGGAAACGGUAGCUAAUACCGCAUACUUUCGGAUAACCCUUAUGGGAGGAGCUAGUGGGUGAGGUAAUGGCUCACCAAGGCGACGAUCCCUAGCUGGUCUGAGGGGAUGAUCAGCCACACUGUGACGUAGACACGGCCCAGACUCCGACGGAGGCAGCAGUGGGGAAUAUUGCGCAAUGGGCGCAAGCCUGAUACAGCCAAGCCGCGUGUAUGAAGAGGGCCCUAGGGUUGUAAAGUACGUUCAGUCGGGAGGCGUUACCGACAGAAGAAGCACCGGCUAACUCCGUGCCAGCAGCCGCGGUAAUAC
rnacentral:rRNA from 1 species